rnacentral:rRNA from 1 species
UUCUACGGGGGGCAGCAGUGGGGAAUAUUGCACAAUGGGCGAAAGCCUGAUGCAGCGACGCCGCGUGAGGGAUGACGGCCUUCGGGUUGUAAACCUCUUUCAGCAGGGACGAAGCGCAAGUGACGGUACCUGCAGAAGAAGGACCGGCUAACUACGUGCCAGCAGCCGCGGUAAUA